rnacentral:snRNA from 1 species
ACAAUGUAGGCAAGGGAAGU